CCAAACCAUUUUGUCGUUUUAGUACAGAGGACACCAAGGAUGGCCCUUUCUACAAUGAGCCACUGUGAUGCUUGAGCUGAAAUGGCUCUUCUGAAGCCGAGAGAUAUGGACAGAACUGUAGAAGAAUGAAAUGAUAGAAAAUCCAGGAUUCAUCUCAAAGUCAAGGUUGAUACUGAGUUGAUAAGGGCUGAAGCUUGUUACACAGAAAGAAUUUGCAAGUAGCUCACAGGAUCUUUGCAAAGUGGAUUCCAAGCUGAGCUCCCAGGAGUGCAUCCCUGCCAGUACUGCAGGGCUGGCCACCACGGAAGCGACCACCUCCAGUAGGAUCCAAGGGCUUCAAAUCCUGGGCGGCUCCCAUGGCUCCAGGUCCCAGGACCACUCCCGUGGUCCGCAGCAUCAAAGCAGGUACACUAUGCCCUCCUCCCUACCCACCUGGCCCCCAAGGUCACACCUGUAUGUCUGGUGGUGGGCCCCAUCCUAGCACACAGAGACGAGUGGGGGUCCUUUCUUUUCUUCUUAUAUUUGAAAGACCGGCUUGAAAGAAUGGGAAUCUCUCGGGAAAUGGAGAGUGCUGAAAAGAUUUUGAGUAACCAUAAAUGUCAACAGCACAUCGGCUGGUGCCUGUCAAUUUGCUUUGCUAGUUUUCCCCACCUGAAUAUAAGCCCCUCGAGGACAGGACCAGGGUCUGGUCCACUUGUAUGUGGCUAAGGUGUGUCGCACACCUGGCACUUAAUGACUAUCUGGUGGAUGGAGAGUGACAAGCUGUUCUGAUGACAGAGGCUCUUGGAACAAGUUCCUGAUCAUGGGAAAGCAAACUCUUUUACUCCUUUGUGCAUAUCCUUAAAUGCAUGUGCUUCCUUUACCCCAGGCUGAACGUGGGUGGAGAUUUGUGAAACGCUAGCUUGUGCAGCGAAGAUGUUGUGAAAGAGAGCCGGAGCUUUAGGAACAAAUGGUCUGAAUGUUUGACUCGGGUUCUCCCUGACUGUGUGUUAUGCACUCACCCAGACUUGAUGCCUCCUCCAACACGUUGGGAGACUCAAGGCAGCCUCACAGGGUUGCUGAAAUGAUCCAAAGCGGUGAUGUGCUCAGUACCUUCUCCCCAGACGGUGUGCGAGGAGGCGGGGAGGCCGUGAGCCCUGAUGAAUGUCAGCAGCUGGGCUGCCUCAUUCAACCCGAAACCCACUUCUCUGUUUCUUCUUGCCCAGAGGUUUUUCUGAAUAAUCCAGGCACUUGACCUUAAGCCUUCCCUUACUGAUACCAAAACCACUGCUUCCCGACGCCAGCUGUACACUAGGAUUAUUGCGGGGGGUGGGGGAGGUCAUCCUAAAACACCAUCUGGGGCCGUGACCCGGCCGUCAGCAUUUUUUUAAAGACCCCCUGG